UUCAAUGCCCCCAAGAUCCCAUUCCCAUUACCUUCUUCGUGACCUCCUAUCUCUCCCUUAUCUCUCUCCCCGCCUCCCAUUAUCUCUUUAAAACUCACGGGCACCAGGUGGGGACAAUGAGAUACUAAAAAUACUAUACUGACACCUGGUUUUCCUUCAACAAGCUAACUCUGAUUUGCUGACUGGCUGUAGUUAAAAGUCUGGCUCCAUUUAAUUUUGUUAGGUUAGGUUGUUAAGUCGUUAGGUUAGGUUAGGUUGGGUUGGGUUGAGUUGAGUUGAAUUGGACUGACUUAGGUUAUGUUAGGUAAGAUAAGGUUACGUAGGUUAAGUUACUAAGGCAAGGCAAGGCAAGAUACGGUAAAGUGUACAGUAAAGUAAGGUAAAAAUCAAUGCAAGGCAAGGAAAGGCAAGGGAAGACAAUGUUGGGUUAGGUAAAGCAAGGUAAAACUGAGAUAAAUAUAUGCAUUACAUGACUAGGACUGGUGCAUCGACCGUGGAGAGAGAGAGAGAGAGAGAGAGAGAGAGAGAGAGAGAGAGAGA